rnacentral:rRNA from 1 species
UCCAGACUCCUACGGGAGGCAGCAGUGAGGAAUAUCGGUCAAUGGGCGGAAGCCUGAACCAGCCAAGUCGCGUGAGGGAAGAAGGCCCUGCGGGUCGCAGACCUCUUUGGACGGGGAGCAAGGCCGCCGACGUGUCGGCGGAAGGAGAGUACCCGUAGAACAAGCAUCGGCUAACUCCGUGCCAGCAGCCGCGGUAAUACGUAGGGGGCAAGCGUUAUCCGGAUUUACUGGGUGUAAAGGGAGCGUAGACGGCAGCGCAAGUCUGAAGUGAAAGGUACGGGCUCAACCUGUACAGGCUUUGGAAACUGCCACGCUCGAGGACAGGAGAGGGCGGUGGAACUCCAUGUGUAGCGGUAAAAUGCGUAGAUAUAUGGAAGAACACCAGUGGCGAAGGCGGCCGCCUGGACUGUUACUGACGCUCAGGCACGAAAGCGUGGGGAGCAAAUAGGAUUAGAUACCCGGGUA